CACGUAGGGGGCAAGCGUUGUCCGGAUUUAUUGGGCGUAAAGAGCUCGUAGGUGGUUCGAUAAGUCAGGUGUGAAACCUCCAGGCUCAACCUGGAGACACCACUUGAUACUGUCGUGACUGGAGUCCGGUAGGGGAGCGUGGAAUUCCUGGUGUAGCGGUGAAAUGCGCAGAUAUCAGGAGGAACACCAGCGGCGAAGGCGGCGCUCUGGGCCGGUACUGACACUGAGGAGCGAAAGCGUGGGUAGCAAACAGG
rnacentral:rRNA from 1 species